rnacentral:rRNA from 1 species
UCCUUGUCUCUAGAGACGUUUGUACGUCCUGGCUCACGGACGAACGGCUGCGGCGUGGCCUAAUACAUGCAAGUCGAGUCGGACCGUUCUUCGGAAGGUCGAGCGGCGGACGGGUGAGUAACACUGGGCAACCUGCCUGUAAGACUGGGAGUAACUCCGGAAACCGGGGCCGUAAUAACCGGAUAAUCCUUUUCCUCUCAUGAGGAAAAGCUGAAAGACGGUUUCGGCUGUCACUUACAGAUGGGCCCGCGGCGCAUUAGCUAGUUGGUGAGGUAAUGGCUCACCAAGGCGACGAUGCGUAGCCGACCUGAGAGGGUGAUCGGCCACACUGGGACUGAGACACGGCCCAGACUCCUACGGGAGGCAGCAGUAGGGAAUCUUCCACAAUGGACGAAAGUCUGAUGGAGCAACGCCGCGUGAGCGAUGAAGGCCUUCGGGUCGUAAAGCUCUGUUGUUAGGGAAGAACAAGUACCGGAGUAACUGCCGGUACCUUGACGGUACCUAACCAGAAAGCCACGACUAACUACGUG